rnacentral:rRNA from 1 species
GUUGUAUAGUCAAGUAAUUAAGUGCAUGUGGUGGAUGCCUUGGCAGUCAGAGGCGAUGAAAGACGUGAUAGCCUGCGAAAAGCUCCGGGAGGCGGCAAAUAUCCUUUGAUCCGGAGAUGUCUGAAUGGGGGAACCCACCUACUUUAAGGUAGGUAUUGCAACAUGAAUACAUAGUGUUGCAAGGCGAACGAGGGGAAGUGAAACAUCUCAGUACCCUUAGGAAAAGAAAUCAAUUGAGAUUCCCUCAGUAGCGGCGAGCGAACGGGGAUCAGCCCAUUAAGUUAUGUGUGUUUUAGUGGAACGCUCUGGGAAGUGCGAACGUAGAGGGUGAUAUUCCCGUACACGAAAGGGCACACAUAAUGAUGACGAGUAGGGCGAGGCACGUGAAACCUUGUCUGAAUAUGGGGGGACCAUCCUCCAAGGCUAAAUACUCCUGACUGACCGAUAGUGAACCAGUACCGUGAGGGAAAGGCGAAAAGAACCCCUGUGAGGGGAGUGAAAUAGAUCCUGAAACCGCAUGCAUACAAGCAGUGGGAGCACCUUCGUGGUGUGACUGCGUACCUUUUGUAUAAUGGGUCAGCGACUUAUAUUCAGUAGCGAGGUUAACCGUAUAGGGGAGCCGUAGAGAAAUCGAGUCUUAAUAGGGCGUUUAGUUGCUGGGUAUAGACCCGAAACCAGGCGAUCUAUCCAUGAGCAGGUUGAAGGUUGGGUAACACUAACUGGAGGACCGAACCCACUGUCGUUGAAAAGCCAGGGGAUGACUUGUGGAUAGGGGUGAAAGGCUAAUCAAGCCUGGUGAUAGCUGGUUCUCCCCGAAAGCUAUUUAGGUAGCGCCUCGGACGAAUACCAUAGGGGGUAGAGCACUGUUUCGGCUAGGGGGUCAUCCCGACUUACCAAACCGAUGCAAACUCCGAAUACCUAUGAGUACUAUCCGGGAGACAGACUGCGGGUGCUAACGUCCGUAGUCAAGAGGAAAACAAUCCAGACCGCCAGCUAAGGCCCCAAAAUCAUAGUUAAGUGGGAAACGAUGUGGGAAGGCAUAGACAGCUAGGAGGUUGGCUUAGAAGCAGCCACCCUUUAAAGAAAGCGUAAUAGCUCACUAGUCGAGUCGGCCUGCGCGGAAGAUGUAACGGGGCUAAAACUAUGUGCCGAAGCUGCGGAUGUAUACUUUGUAUACGUGGUAGGGGAGCGUUCUGUAAGCCGAUGAAGGUGUGUUGAGAAGCAUGCUGGAGGUAUCAGAAGUGCGAAUGCUGACGUGAGUAACGACAAAACGGGUGAAAAACCCGUUCGCCGAAAGACCAAGGGUUCCAGUCCAACGUUAAUCGGGGCUGGGUGAGUCGACCCCUAAGGCGAGGCCGAAAGGCGUAGUCGAUGGGAAAAUGGUUAAUAUUCCAUUACUUCUGUGUAAUGCGAUGAGAGGACGGAGAAGGCUAAAUCAGCCUGGCGUUGGUUGUCCAGGUGAAAGGAUGUAGGCAUGUAUCUUAGGCAAAUCCGGGGUACUCUAUGCUGAGAUCUGAUAGCAAGCUGUACUUGUACAGCGAAGUGGUUGAUGCCAUGCUUCCAGGAAAAGUCUCUAAGCUUCAGUUACACAGGAAUCGUACCCGAAACCGACACAGGUGGUCAGGUCGAGUAGACCAAGGCGCUUGAGAGAACUCUGCUGAAGGAACUAGGCAAAAUGGUACCGUAACUUCGGGAGAAGGUACGCUGUUGUUGGUGAUGGAACUCGCUUCCUGAGCUGACGACAGCCGCAGAAACCAGGCCGCUGCAACUGUUUAUUAAAAACAUAGCACUCUGCAAACACGAAAGUGGACGUAUAGGGUGUGAUGCCUGCCCGGUGCUGGAAGGUUAAUUGAUGGGGUUAGCGUAAGCGAAGCUCUUGAUCGAAGCCCCAGUAAACGGCGGCCGUAACUAUAACGGUCCUAAGGUAGCGAAAUUCCUUGUCGGGUAAGUUCCGACCUGCACGAAUGGCAUAAUGAUGGCGGCGCUGUCUCCAGCAGAGGCUCAGUGAAAUCGAAAUCGCUGUGAAGAUGCAGUGUACCCGCGGCUAGACGGAAAGACCCCGUGAACCUUUACUGCAGCUUGACACUGAACUUUGACCUUACUUGUGUAGGAUAGGUGGGAGGCUUUGAAGCUGGAACGCUAGUUCCAGUGGAGCCGUCCUUGAAAUACCACCCUGGUAAUGUUGAGGUUCUAACUCUGUCCCGUGAUCCGGGACGAGGACCGUGUCUGGUGGGUAGUUUGACUGGGGCGGUCUCCUCCUAAAGAGUAACGGAGGAGUACGAAGGUGCGCUCAGCGUGGUCGGAAAUCACGCGUAGAGUAUAAAGGCAAAAGCGCGCUUAACUGCGAGACCCACAAGUCGAGCAGGUACGAAAGUAGGUCUUAGUGAUCCGGUGGUUCUGUAUGGAAGGGCCAUCGCUCAACGGAUAAAAGGUACUCUGGGGAUAACAGGCUGAUACCGCCCAAGAGUUCAUAUCGACGGCGGUGUUUGGCACCUCGAUGUCGGCUCAUCUCAUCCUGGGGCUGAAGCAGGUCCCAAGGGUAUGGCUGUUCGCCAUUUAAAGAGGUACGCGAGCUGGGUUUAGAACGUCGUGAGACAGUUCGGUCCCUAUCUACCGUGGGCGCUGGAAAUUUGAGAGGAUCUGCUCCUAGUACGAGAGGACCAGAGUGGACGAACCUCUGGUGUACCGGUUGUGACGCCAGUCGCAUCGCCGGGUAGCUAUGUUCGGAAGGGAUAACCGCUGAAAGCAUCUAAGCGGGAAGCCUACCUCAAGAUAAGAUUUCCCUAGGACUUUAUGUCCUCUAAAGAGCCGUUCGAGACUAGGACGUUGAUAGGUUGGAUGUGGAAGCAUAGUGAUAUGUGAAGCUGACCAAUACUAAUUGCUCGUGAGGCUUGACUAUACAACACCCAAGCAGUUG